UGAGGAAUAUUGGUCAAUGGGCGAGAGCCUGAACCAGCCAAGUAGCGUGCAGGAUGACGGCCCUAUGGGUUGUAAACUGCUUUUAUAUGGGGAUAAAGUGGGGAACGUGUUCCCUUUUGCAGGUACCAUAUGAAUAAGGACCGGCUAAUUCCGUGCCAGCAGCCGCGGUAAUACGGAAGGUUCGGGCGUCAUCCGGAUUUAUUGGGUUUAAAGGGAGCGUAGGCCGUUUGGUAAGCGUGUUGUGAAAUGUAGGAGCUCAACUUCUAGAUUGCAGCGCGAACUGUCAGACUUGAGUGCGCACAACGUAGGCGGAAUUCAUGGUGUGGCGGUGAAAUGCUUAGAUAUCAUGAAGAACUCCGAUUGCGAAGGCAGCUUACGGGAGCGAAACUGACGCUGAAGCUCGAAGGUGCGGGUAUCGAACAGG
rnacentral:rRNA from 1 species